rnacentral:rRNA from 1 species
CCUACGGGAGGCAGCAGUGGGGAAUAUUGGGCAAUGGGCGCAAGCCUGACCCAGCAACGCCGCGUGAAGGAAGAAGGCUUUCGGGUUGUAAACUUCUUUUAUCAGGGACGAAACAAAUGACGGUACCUGAUGAAUAAGCCACGGCUAACUACGUGCCAGCAGCCGCGGUAAUCCGUAGGUGGCAAGCGUUAUCCGGAUUUACUGGGUGUAAAGGGCGUGUAGGCGGGUUUUUAAGUGAGAUGUGAAAUUCCAGGGCUCAACCCUGGAACUGCAUUUGAUACUGUAGGUCUUGAGUGCUGGAGAGGUAGGCGGAAUUCCGGGUGUAGCGGUGAAAUGCGUAGAUAUACGGAGGAACACCGAUGGCGAAGGCAGAUUGCUGGACAGCAACUGACGCUGAGGCGCGAAAGCGUGGGGAGCAAACAGGAUUAGAUACCCCUGUAGUC